GAAGACGAAGCUGGCGUCAUACAGAUUUCAGCGCCGUUGCACGGACGCCCAUCUACAGCGAUCUGUGCUCUCUCUCUCUCUUUCGCUGUGCGUGUGUGGGUUGUCCGCGGAUUGUCUCAUGCAGGCGCUCACCUCUCGACUUCGCCAUGCGUGUGUCGUCUCUCCCCAUCAUCAUUGACGAGUUUCCGGCACUCGCCGGCCGCCGCAGCUACAGCGGCAGCGGGCCGGAGUUGUUUUUUCUCACUCACUUUCACACGGACCACAUGAAGGGCCUCAGCUCUACCUGGACGGCCGGUUUCAUCAUCACCAGCACCCUCACUCGGCAACUGCUGCUGAACAAGUUUGAAGGACUUCGCGGACGCGUUCUCGGGCUGCCCUUCUGGUGUCGCACCUCCGUUCUCUCCGCCGCUGCCGCGGCGCACAGCGAAACCGACAGCAGCACCACCACUGCGGUCCCUGUAGUGUACGUCACGCUGCUUCCGGCGUUUCACGUACCUGGUAGCGCCAUGAUUUACAUUGAGACGCCGUCCGGCGUCACCUACCUGCACACCGGCGACUUCAAGUACACAGAGACGGCGGCCCAGAUGUCCCCACUGCGCACCUUCUUCCAGUCGCACCGAGUCGACCACCUCUAUCUGGACGACACCUGGCUUCACUUGGGGCACGCAGAGCUGAAGUCGUGGCCGGCGCGCACUGAAAGCCCACUCGUCGGCCACCGCGGCGUUGGCAUUGCUGACAGCGGCAUCCGCGUGCUAAGCAAGUUGCUGGACGCAGAUCAGGUGGAAGAGGCGAUCGAAGCGAUUGGGCGUCGUAUGGACUACCAGCGCCAACUGCAUGCGCAGUGGGUGCAGCAGCAGUCGCAAUGCGACGCCAACGGCACCGCCGAGGCACUGACACCUUCAUCCUCAUCCUCAUCAGCAUCCGCUGAGCCGAGCAACACUCGACUGCCAUUUGUUGUUCGUGUGUACCUGCACAAUCAGUUCGGUAAGGAGAUGCUCAUCCAGCAACUGGCAGCGCGGCUGCGCACGAGGGCUAUCAUCGACGACGCCCGCUACGCACGUCUACUCACCGUGGUGGAAGCGCUUGAGGAGGAGCGGGAUGACCUGAAGGCUUUUGAGGGGGCAAGCCCUGCCCGCCUUGACGGUGCUGCGCCACCGCUGUCGGCGGAGGAGCUGGCGUGGCGGGCCUCCGGUGGCGAGGCCGCCCACUACCCGUACGACCUCAACUGCUUUGUUUCUUUCUCACAAGCUCAGCAACAGCAGCAGCAGUGGUGGGCAUGCUUAAGAAACGGCCGUGGUGCGAUGCUACCACAGCAACCACAGCCGUCCGCUGACCACUCGGUCAAACGCUCGUGCGAGCCGCCUCUCAUCGAGGUAGUCAGCAGCCGUGCCUCGAUCGAGCCUGCCACCAUGCAAGCGGCCUCGGCAGCGCGUGGUGGGACUCCGUACUACGGUGUCGUCAUCUCAGGCUGGGCCCGGCUGCAGUCACAGAUGCACGGCCCAGCGGCAAGUGGCCAGGUUUGGCAAGUCCCAACGACGCUUCACAGCACACCGCAGGAGAUUGUGGACUUCGUCGCGCUACUUCGCCCGCUGUCAGUGACACCGUUGCACUACCGCCCCAGCCGAGGGGAGGUUGUUAUGCAGCGCCUUGGGCCGUACCUGCGCGUGCCCUUUGUGAACAACCACGACACCGGCUGUGGCGCAACAGCAGCGGCGACGACGGGCAGGGACGCAGUGGCCCUGAGAGGCGGUGUUGUGCGGUGGGUGCCGUACUUGCCGGCUUACCUACUCUCGCAGGUGGGAGGCAGCGACAGUCGAAGCGGUCUUGGCACCUUGACCCUCUUAGGGCUGCUUGGCGCACGCGAUGCCGCCGCCGUUUGUGAUGAUGGCCUUGACGCGCUCGAGGAGAAGCCGCGGCGGGGAUUCCGUAUUCGCCCUGCGGGAAUGCCACCCCCCUCGUCUAAGGCGGCGGUGGCGGCGUCUCGAUCGGGUGGAGAGGCACCGGGAGGCUGCGACUCGCGCACCGCUGCGAUCACCGCGCCGUACUUCUUCGCUCCCUCUCCCAAGUCGACGACGCCGCUUCCUGACCAGGGAAUGACAGACGUGUGCGGCAAGGCAAAGAAUCCCACAGACACGUCGGUGAGUUCACGCGCGCGCGCCGAUGGUCUGCGCAUGUCGACGUUGUUGCCGUCGUGGAGGUUAUACUGUCUCACACAGUCGUGCCUCAGCACGCAUCAGUCUGGCGGCAAGCGUGAGCGAGUUGACGCCGAGAUGGAUGGGCAGAGCAUGGCCGCUCACCGUGCCGAGCGCCACGCUGCCACCACAAUGAAGAUCGAGUCCGGUGAAAAAGCUGUGAAGGCAGCGAAUGACGACAAUAAGGACUGCCCCGCCGUGCUGCUCAGCAGCAGCAGCGCCACCACCGGUCUUCCCUCGCUGUCCGACAUCGCCGACAAUGUGCUGGCCUGAGCAAGACAGUGUGGCGUAUGUGUGUGUCCGUUUGUGUGCGAAAUGGCGAACAGUGUGGAUCGGUGGGGCAGCGCGUGGCCCACGACUCGGCAAGUCCGCUCAUGCGCUCAUACACACAGUCGCAUCACCCUCCACUGCGACCAGCGCAAUGCUAUCGCACCAGAAGCAGUCGUACUCGUGUUCUGCCAAUCUUCGUUGCUGCUCGCCUUACAUAGACGCACGCGCACUCACACACAUGUAGU
rnacentral:misc_RNA from 1 species